rnacentral:lncRNA from 1 species
CUGAUACCCAAAGUAUAUGGAGAGAUGGGAUCUUGGCUAUGAUUGAGGAGCUUGGCAGAUGAGUGAUGAUGAGGAGUGCUGAUACAGGAGCUUAGAUGAUUCUAUCCAGGUGAACUGGAACCACUGGAUACUGUGGAGGGUCCCGUCGUUGAUCCCUGUUGUCACAUGCAACUAUAUAGAACAUGUUUGCUGGUGUCUGCGCAUACCUGCAGUUUGAAAUAUUCUGUGGACUUGGAGUUGUGAGGUUACAGUACAUUAAAGGCACCUGGACUCCACUAUGAUGACAAUUGUUGAGAGUUCUGUUAUGAGGGCAGGUUAUAGUUGGGUUACCACAAACAUUAACUACAUUAGCAAAAGUUGCAAGAAGAAAAGUAUUUUGGUUUUUCCAUCGCCGUUGAUAAUUGUUAAUUACCCGCAUUGCAUUGGUGCAUUGGAGCUGGUUCCUACUGAUGGACGUCAAACCCCUGAGCCCAGGUAAACUGUGGAGGUUUGACAUGGAGUGAGCCC